AGUGAACGCUGGCGGUAGGCCUAACACAUGCAAGUCGAACGGCAGCACAGUAAGAGCUUGCUCUUACGGGUGGCGAGUGGCGGACAGGUGAGGAAUACAUCGGAAUCUACUUUUUCGUGGGGGAUAACGUAGGGAAACUUACGCUAAUACCGCAUACGACCUACGGGUGAAAGCAGGGGAUCUUCGGACCUUGCGCGAUUGAAUGAGCCGAUGUCGGAUUAGCUAGUUGGCGGGGUAAAGGCCCACCAAGGCGACGAUCCGUAGCUGGUCUGAGAGGAUGAUCAGCCACACUGGAACUGAGACACGGUCCAGACUCCUACGGGAGGCAGCAGUGGGGAAUAUUGGACAAUGGGCGCAAGCCUGAUCCAGCCAUACCGCGUGGGUGAAGAAGGCCUUCGGGUUGUAAGGCCCUUUUGUUGGGAAAGAAAAGCAGCAGGUUAAUACCCCGCUGUUCUGACGGUACCCAAAGAAUAAGCACCGGCUAACUUCGUG
rnacentral:rRNA from 1 species